rnacentral:rRNA from 1 species
GUCCUACGGGGGGCGGCAGUGAGGAAUAUUGGUCAAUGGACGGAAGUCUGAACCAGCCAUGCCGCGUGCAGGAAGACGGCUCUAUGAGUUGUAAACUGCUUUUGUACAAGGGUAAACCUGAAUACGUGUAUUCAGCUGAAAGUACUGUACGAAUAAGGAUCGGCUAACUCCGUGCCAGCAGCCGCGGUAAUACGGAGGAUCCAAGCGUUAUCCGGAUUUAUUGGGUUUAAAGGGUGCGUAGGCGGCGCUUCAGGUCAGCGGUGAAAUACCGGGGCUCAACCCCGGGGCUGCCGUUGAAACCGGAG